UGCCUUGGCCUCCCACAGUGCUGGGAUUACAGGAGUGAGCCACCGUGCCCGGCCGGUUCAUAAUUCUUUAUACCAAAUUUACCCAUUCAGAUUGCAGUGUAGUCUCUCUCCUGAUCAAGUCCUGAUUCACCAUUAUCCUGAUAUUUACUCUGUGAUUCCUUUUACUCUUAAAUAGUUGUAAGAGAACAUUUUCUUGACACUCAAGUGGCCUCUUCUAAGAGGAAGAAACAACAUCCUGGUGCUUCUACCAGAUCAGAGGAACACAUGGCCGCUCGGCCUUCACUGUCCCUGGAAUUAAUGCUUCUGCCCAGUGUCCACGUGUCCAGGCGAGGGCCUGAGCACAGAACCAGACACUGAAAUAACGGUAUCAUCGUCGAUGAGGCGCCUCUGUCUCCGACGCAGCAGAAAUGCCUCAGUGACCCCUCUCCAGGGACACAGAGGACCUAUCUUCAAAGAAGGGGAGAUGAAGGUGAUUCCAGGAAGGAGUGUCUCUGACCAUCAGCUGUUUUCCACCUUCCCACGGAUCGAGACACAGCCUUCCAUCUUCUGUUGCGUUUGUUUGCUCAUUUGUUUAAUUGCAAUAAAAGACACAUCAAAUCAA